GAUUCAUGACUGGGGUGAAGUCGUAACAAGGUAACCGUAGGGGAACCUGCGGUUGGAUCACCUCCUUACCU
rnacentral:rRNA from 1 species